AUCUUUCUAAUAUACUAGUAUAUUUGACUUCCAAUCAAAAAGGCCCCCUGGGGGAAAGAUA
rnacentral:tRNA from 1 species